rnacentral:pre_miRNA from 8 species
UUCUACCGCAUCCAACCGGACUUUUCCUAGUCCCUGAGACCCUAACUUGUGAGGUAUUUUAGUAGCAUCACAAGUCAGGCUCUUGGGACCUAGGCGGAGGGGACUAGCACCUUUGGACUUA